rnacentral:rRNA from 1 species
UACGUAGGGUGCGAGCGUUAAUCGGAAUUACUGGGCGUAAAGUGUGCGCAGGCGGCUAAGCAAGUCGAGUGUGAAAGCCCCGGGCUUAACUUGGGAAUUGCGCUCGAAACUACUUGGCUGGAGUGUGGCAGAGGAAGGUGGAAUUCCACGUGUAGCGGUGAAAUGCGUAGAGAUGUGGAGGAACACCAAUGGCGAAGGCAGCCUUCUGGGCCAACACUGACGCUCAUGUACGAAAGCGUGGGGAGCAAACAGG